UUUUGUAUGUAAUGAAGUGUGUCGAUGAACCUGAAUGAAUAUAGCGUAUAAAAGGUGUUAAAAGAUCUCUUUUAUUUGGAAUUUUGGAAUCUUAAGUUUAGUUUACAAUGAUAUGAUCUGGUGGUAAUUGGUUGGAUUUCUGAGUGUAUAAAUUGUUUAGCUUGUGGAUUUAUAAGUGUUGUUAAUGUUUUGUUAAGUUGGCUUGGAUUUUCAUAAAUGUGAAUUAUCGGGUGAUGUGCUAUAUGAUUAUAAAUUGCAUAGGUUUUAUUGAUAUGAAUUUGACUCAAUGUUUCUCAGUGUCCCCAAAUGUUAGUUUGGAUCCUGAAUUGAUUUGUGAUGAAAAAUUUUAAUAUUAUCGAUUCGGGAGACAUGACAGUUCUUUUCUCCUAGUCUGAAAUUUCCACUGUCAGAGCGUCUUGCUCCGCUUGAGCGAGCACUUAGCACCUAGCGCCUCGGGCAUUUUGGAAUGUGCUUUUUAAUUUGUUUGCAAAAUAGAAGCAAAAUAAAAGUUAUAGACUUCCACUAGGAUCAUGAUAGGUUAUAGAUUUAAGUUCCAAUUGAAUAUGAAAGAGGAAUUGAUGCAAAAACCUCAAUUCAGGUCCCACAUUGUCUUAUCGGUAGAGAAAUUUAGUGAUCAAUAGUUCUUACUAUAUCUUAGAUUCAUAGAUCAUUUAUAAUUUUGUUGGACGUAUCACACUUUCUUCUUUACAGAAAUUUUAUGAAAAUUCAAGCUCCAAAAUUAAACCACAUUUUAUUGGAAGAAUAUUUUACCAGUGUUAUCGUUCAAAAAGGUAUAUUAGCUUAUUGUUGUAGCCUGUAGGUGAAAACAAUACUAGAUCAUUUGUUUUUUGGAAAGCUUGUAUUGUAGAUUUGAGGUAGCUACUUUUGCUUUUCCUCUCUUGUUGCACUUUUUGUGUGAGAAUUCUGACACUUGAAUGCUUAUAUCCAGUCAUCAGGAUACUUGUGUGUAAAGAUCCUUUGCUUAUGCUAGGUUCAUCUCUGCUGUAGUUAGUACAAUAGAUGCAUCAUGCAUUUUCUUAAGAAUUAAGAUUAUGAUUUAGUGACUUCUACUGUCAUCAUAACAAUUUUUAAAAUUUUUAAGUUUUGGAGUGGCAUAAGUCAGCCUCAUGAUGCUUCAAGCUUCAAGUUCCAUUCAUCGAUCUCAGUAUCAUUUUGACUCAUUAAGUUCACUACCACUCAAGUCAUUGAUGUUCCGUCAAGCAAAUCCAAGCAACACUAUUUCAAGGCCACAGAGUUGUAGGUGGAUUGAUUUCUUAUCUGGCAGCUGGAGAUCUUCCUGUUCACGGUUCAAAUCUUUUUGCUCGCAAGUGCUAGAUUCUUGUAAUACAUGUGAUAUUAAAAAGGUCUGUAUUAUUUUGAACUUGAUGAUUGUAAAAUGUUUUUAAAAUUGUCCAUUCUAUUUGAUUGUA